UACGGAGGAUGCAAGCGUUAUCCGGAAUGAUUGGGCGUAAAGGGUCCGCAGGUGGCAGUGUAAGUCUGCUGUCAAAGAAUGAGGCUUAACCUCAUCAAGGCAGUGGAAACUACACAGCUAGAGUACGGUCGGGGUAGAAGGAAUUCCUGGUGUAGCGGUGAAAUGCGUAGAGAUCAGGAAGAACACCGGUGGCGACAGCGUUCUGCUAGACCUGUACUGACACUGAGGGACGAAAGCUAGGGGAGCGAAUGGG
rnacentral:rRNA from 1 species